CUCUGUAUGUGGAUGUGAUCCGUGUGAACAGCUACUACUCUUGGUAUCGCAACUACGGGCACCUGGAGUUGAUUCGGCUGCAGCUGGCCGCCCAGUUUGAGAAUUGGUGUAAGACAUCACAAUCCCAUUAUUCAGAGCGCGUAUGGAGUGGAAACGCUUGUAGGGUUUCACCAGUCUUUCCCAGGGAACUCCGAUGAAGUGUUCCAACAAAAUGAGCGAGUGAACCAAGAAGAGGAUGACAUUAGAUCCAGGAGAUACAACAGAGGAGAUAAUCUCCAGGAUGCCUGUGAAGAAAGAUCCCUGGAUCCCAGGAUGAUUAUAGGACAAGUUGUUCAUAAUCCAGCAGGCCAGAAGACUUCCAGGGAAACUCAUUUCAAGAUGAAAAUGGACCAGCCGCAGUGGCUCACGCCUGUAAUACCAGCACUUUGGGAGGCUGAGGCAGGCGGAUCACUUGAGGUCAGGAGUUUGAAACUAGCCUGGCCAACGUGGCAAAACUCCAUCUCUAUUAAAAAUACAAAAAUUAGCCAGGCAUAGUGGUGCAUGCCUGUAGUCCCAGCUACUUGGGAUGCUGAGGCAGGAAGAAUUGCUUGAACCUGGGAGGCAGAGUCUGCAGUGAGCCGAGAUCAUGCCACUGCACUCCAGCCUGGGUGACAGAGCCAGACUCCGUCUCAAAAAAAAAAGAAAAAGAAAAAAAAAAUGAUGACUCUUUCAAGAAAUGAAAAUGAUGAGAUAUCUGGUAGGUCUGAAUGACUUAAGAGGAGAUUUAAACAUUUGGGAUAAGUUGAAGAUGAGCUGGUGUUCGUCUUCAUUUAUUUCAUUUAAAUAAAUAAAAUUAUUAAUACAUGAAUUUUAUCUCAAGAAACAAAAAUAAGCAAUGUACAUAAAAAUUAAGCAGAUGGCUGGCCGGGCGCGGUGGCUCACGCCUGUAAUCAGAGCAC
rnacentral:lncRNA from 1 species